GGCUUCCGUGCAGCUGGGGCAGGAAGAGCUGGCAGCUGAUGUCAGCCCUUGCGCAAACCCCCUGCCUGUGGCUUCCGGAGCCUGCCGCCUGGCGUGUCGAGGAGGAAGCCGAGGGCUCAGCGGGGCCCAGAGGCCGUGCUGCCUGGCCCGGCCACCGCAUGGAUGCACUGACCAGCCCCGGUGGCCCCUGGGGCCCAAGGCUUCGGCCCUGAAUCCGGGUGAGGGGCUGGGCUGGGGAGUUCGGCCGGGCCUGGGGUAUGUGAAGGGGCCUGUGCCCCCAGGGUGUGGCUCUGGACCGGGAGGAGGCCUUUGCCCUUUGUGAACUCAGUUUCCUCAGGCACACCCUGUAGUAGGUGUGCUGGACUUUUUGGGACUCUGUGCCCCUGGGAGUUGAUUGGUGGCAUGGUAUGCAAGCCUUGAACAGUACAGCUGCUGGGGAUCUGAGGUUGGGCUGAGUACAGUCCUGUGGGCUGGACUAGGGCCCUCAUGCCCAUCUGGGUGCCCCUUGCAAAGUCACUAUCUGUGCCACCAGCAAACAGUGCCCACCUCUGGGACUUAGGGCUUCUGGGUGCAGGGCUAGUUCUUGGGGGGCUGACUGGUGGGUGCUCAGUGACCUCUGUGCCUGCCAUAGGUUCAGGGGUCACAGCCUCCCCUGGGGUGAGGUUGGGGGAAUCUGGACUCAGCUGCCAAAUGCUCAGGGCUAGGCACACCCUGCUGCUGGUUGUUGCUGCCACUACUGUCAUUAUCACUUUUUUCUUCAUCACACCAAUGCUGAAUGCCUGUCCCUUCUUCCCUGUAGUUCUCAACAGGAGGCACGUUGGCCCCAUUCUGCUGAUGAGCAGAUCGAGGCCCGCCCAGGGCCUGCAGGCUGCCAUAAGUUUGCUGUGGAGGGUCCCGGGAAGGCACUGGGAGCUGCUGAGGCAAAAACCCUGGGUGGCAGCCAGAGGCGUCCUGCUGGCUGGGGCGUGGCAAGUGUGCGCCUGGUUUCCUUCCACAACACUCUGCCACCUCGUUGCCCUCGUUGCCCGUGGCAGGGCCCGUUCUCUGGAGGCACAGCCCUGGGCAGGGGCUCCCCUGCACCCGUAACAGCUCCUUGCCUCCUCUGAUUGAUGAGGGACUCUCUAAUCACCCACCACAGCUCAGUGCCAGGUUUCUCAUCAUUUUUUUGGUACCGGGGAUCGAACUCAGGACCUUGCGCUUGUGAGGCAGGCGCCGGAACCACUGAGCUAAAUCCCCUGCCCUUCAGCUUUCUCAUCUGUGAAUUGGGCACAGGCAGCCAGCGUAAGCGCCCAGCCCAUGGGCCAGGCUGCUGUGGGGUCCUCUCUGGUCAGGAGCUCUAUAGGGCUUGGAAUAUGAGCCCCUCUACCCCCUGCUCUGUGGCCUUGGGCUCCCACCUGCUGAUGGGAUGGAGAAGGGUAUGGCCUGGACCCGGUUGGCUGUAUGAGGUUGUGAGGGCCUGAGGAGGGUGAGGGUGAGGGUGAGGUCUCUGGAGUGGCCUCCUUCUGCCUGGCUUCCUGGGGGUCACACAGCCUUCUCUAGCCCUGGGAAUGUGGGGCAAUCUCUUUGGUGUUCCUGCAGUGGGGGAGGUGAUGGGGGUCUCGGGGCUCCCGUGGCCUGACAGCCCCCUUCUCUCUGCAGGCGGCAGGCCUUCUUGGGCAGCUUAGUUAGCCAGCGGGAUGGGGCCCUCGGCUUCAUCCCAGGGAGGAAGCCCAGUGCCCCUGCCCUCUGACCUCUCCUUCCGCUCCCCCACCCCCAGCAACCUGCCCAUGGUGCAGCUGUGGGCCCCCCAUGCCCAUGAAGGCUUCUCCCACCUGCCCAGUGGGCUGUACCC
ensembl:lncRNA